rnacentral:snRNA from 1 species
AGCUCUGCACCGCGGCCGUCACCGUCCCAGCCAGUGAGGGCUAUCCGAGCUGUGGUUACUGCUAACUGAGACCUUUUCC